AAAGAGUUCGAAAUUUCAAUUUGCCCCGUCUGUGUAUACAGAAGUUCUUUCCAAAAAAGAAAUGCUUUAUCUUUGACUUACCUGCUCACCAAAAAAAGCUUGCCCAACUUGAAACACUGCCUGAUGAUGAGCUAGAGCCUGAAUUUGUGCAACAAGUGACAGAAUUCUGUUCCUACAUCUUUAGCCAUUCUAUGACCAAGACUCUUCCAGGUGGCAUCAUGGUCAACGGAUCUCGUCUAAAGAACCUGGUGCUGACCUAUGUCGAUGCCAUCAGCAGUGGGGAUCUGCCUUGCAUAGAGAAUGCAGUCCUGGCCUUGGCUCAGAGAGAGAACUCAGCUGCAGUGCAAAAGGCCAUUGCUCACUAUGACCAGCAAAUGGGCCAGAAAGUGCAGCUGCCCAUGGAAACCCUCCAGGAGCUGCUGGACCUGCACAAGACCAGUGAGAGGGAGGCCAUUGAAAUCUUCAUGAAAAACUCUUUCAAGGAUGUAGACCAAAGUUUCCAGAAAGAAUUGGAGACUCUACUAGAUGCAAAACAGAAUGACAUUUGUAAACGGAACUCAGAAGCAUCCUCAGAUCAUUGCUUGGCUUUACUUAAGGAUAUUUUUGGUCCUCUAGAAGAAGCAGUGAAGCAGGGAAUUUAUUCUAAGCCAGGAGGCCAUAAUCUCUUCAUUCAGAAAACAGAAGAACUGAAGGCAAAGUACUAUCAGGAGCCUCGGAAAGGAAUACAGGUAUCCCUAGUUCUACCUAUUAAUUGUGGAGAAUUGCUGAGGGACCUCUUUGAAAAAUCAGUGAGAACAGGAAAAAUGCCAUGUAUACAGGCACACAGAUGAGGUUUAUGUCUCUGUCUAGUAGUAAUCCUUUUCUUAAAUAAGAAUUUAUGGAAAAACAAUGUGCCUGGUGUUGGUGUUCCUCACACAGAAUUUAUAUCUAAUGGUAGCAGUGGGAUUAAAUUGAACCAUCACCAUAAUCACCAGACUUGCUUUGUGACCAACAUUCAUUGCAACAAAGAGGCCUUUUUGGUUACAUUGGACAGAAUGCCAAUACUUGAAACUAACCCAAGAAACACCAGUAAUUCAUUGGCUUACACAAACUAAAAGCAAAACAUUUUAAUUUAGUUUCAAGUAUAGAUGCAUUCAGAAUUUUAAACAAUAUUAUCCCUUUUCCUCCUUCCUUCUUUCUGUCAUUUUUCUGUUUCAUUUUCCUGACUAUUGGCUUCAUUUCCAGGCAGCCUCACCCCACGUGACAAUAAAGAUAACACCAACAGGUCCAAGCUUAACUAGGCCUCACUGCCCUCAGUCUCAGGGGAAAGAGAGCACCUUUUCCCCAGCAUAUAUCUGUCAUUCAAACACAAAAGCAUCAUCAAUUUUCAUACUCUUUGCAGUAUUUUUCUCCCUGUGAACAAGUCCUUUGCAUCUAGUGGACUUGCAUGCUCUGACUGACUAUGGAGUCAUGCCCAAACUUGUGACAGGAGCGGGUGUUCCACAAGCCUCUCCUGUCUCAAUUGGCAGUUCCACCAAGUGCAGGGUGGAAGCCUGUAUAGGCUCCACUUCUCCUAUGGAGCCUCUCCUAUGGCAAGCCUCUCCUAUGAGGAGUAGAUGCUGGAAGGAACAAGACAAAGAUGUUUACAACAUUCCUAAUCACCAUUUCCUGCUUCUAACUGCAUGUUUUUGGGGUUACUAGGCUGAAGAAGUUCUACAGAAAUAUUUAAAGUCCAAGGAGUCUGUGAGUCAUGCAAUACUACAGACUGACCAGGCUCUCACAGAGAAGGAAAAAAAGAAGAAAGGUGAGAAGAAAGUGGAAAUUAUGCAAGAUAGAAUAAAAUCUAUAAAUUUUAAAUAAAUUUGGCCUGGCCCUCAUGGGAUGUUAAACUAGAGCAAGAAUGGCAAAGAUGCUUCUUAGCUCCUCAAGCAUAUCUGACUGUGGCAUGAUCCUGCAUUGUGGUUACCUGGAAGGGAAAAACAACCCCUGGGAAUUUUAUCCAGGAAGUUGGAACAAUCACAAACAAAAGUGGGAGGAAGAAGGAAGAGGCACAUUAAUCCUGGAGAAGUUUAUCUUUUUCUCCUCAGAGGCACAAGUGAAAGCAGAAGCUGCAAAGGCUGAAGCGCAAAGGUUGGAGGCGAUUCAAAGGCAGAACCAGCAAAUGAUGCAGGAGAGGGAGAGACUCCAUCAGGAACAAGUGAGACAAAUGGAGAUAGCCAAACAAAAUUGGCUGGCAGAGCAACAGAAAAUGCAGGAACAACGGAUGCAGGAAGAGGCUGCACGGCUCAGCACAACAUUCCAAGCUCAAAACAGAAGGCUUCUCAAUGAGCUCCAGCAUGCCCAGAGGACUGUUAAUAACAAUGAUCCAUGUGUUUUACUCUAAAGUGCUAAAUAUGGGAGUUUCCUUUUUUACUCUUUGUCACUGAUGACACAACAGAACAAGAAACUGUAGAACUUGGGACAAUCAACAUUUAAAUAAAUUUUAUAAUUAUUUUUUCAAACUUUCAUAUAGAGUUAUAAGAUUAUGAUGCUGGUAUCUGGUAAAAUGUACAUCCCAGUAGUCCAAUAGUUUGAAUGAUUAUUGCUUCCUUUAAGAGAUUAUAAAUUGUAUAAGGGACAUUGUAUCGCUGCCUUCAUUUAUGCGUGAUAUUGGGAUGGUUUCAUCAGGAGAUGCUUUCCCUUGCAUCUCAAUGCCAUCUGUCUAAUUUCUCAUAAGGGGAUUAUGUUACCUAGAGCAGGACUUCCCAACCCUCAGGCCAUAGACUAGCUCUGGUCUGUGGCCUUUUAGGAACCUGGCCACACAGCAGGAGGUGAGCAGCAGGUAAGUGAGCAUUACAGCCUGAGCUCCACCUCCUGUCAGAUCAGCAGUGACAUUAGAUUCUCAUAGGAGUGGGAACCCUAUUGUGAACUGUGCAUGCAAAAGAUCCAGGUUGUGUGAUCCUUGUGGAACAAUAUAAACCAGAAACCAAUAAUGCCACCCCACCUCCAACCCCCACCAACCCUCUGUGGAUAAAUUAUCUUCCACGAAACUGGUCCCUGAUGCCAAAUAGGUUGGGGGACCGCUGACCUAGAGGGAGUUAUGCACAUGGGCUUGUAAUAUUAGCUGAGAGAAAGGACAAGAAGACCCAAAAUCUGGCAAGCAAAUUUAUUAACCUGCCGGGCUGCUCCACAGAAAUCAGAGGAGGCAGCCGCCGGGCUUACAGGCUAAGGGGUAUAAGUAGGUCUGCAGGGGUUUUGUGUGUGUGUGCGGGGGUGUCGGUGGGGCAAGGCCAUUUUGGGGACUUUUCCUCCCAGUACGGCCACAUCCUGCAGUUUGUCAGUUUUUGCCCCUACCUGGCUCAGGGUACCAGGAUGUGGUUUAGCUUAGGGGUGGUUAUAGCGGCACCUAAGUUCUGGGAACUUGGGGUGGGGGCGACCUUUUGGAAGAAAAAUAAGCUGCAGGGCAUCUAGGGGAGGGGGCUUGUUAUAUUCCUCUGGGGGCAGGGUGUCCCUAACUGGGCUCAGUCGGAAGGAAUUUGACCAAAGUCUUGGCUCAUUUGGGCAUCACCCAGGCUAAUGGUCGUGUGCUGGAUGCCAUCAGAGGGAAGUACCAAUGGUAAAGUGGAAACAAUGUGCAGCUUUCAGCUGGGUGGAGGCUGCUAUUCUAUGGACAGUGAGAUGAUUCCUUGGCACUGUCAAUAGACAAUCUGCAUAGAGAAAUUCCAAGCUAAAAGCCAAUCAUGUUAUAAUAAAAUAGAGAUUCUUCAGAAGAUGAAAGGAAUUACCAGCAUGGAAAUUGUAUCAUAGGCUUAAGGGCUAAAGAAGAAGCCUUUUCAUUUCUGUUCACCCUCACCAAGAGCACAACUCAAAUAGGGCAUUUUAUAACCUGAAACAAUUUAUAUUAGACUUAAUUAUUAUGUGUAAUGUGUUUAUAAUCCUUUAGAUCUUAUAAAUAUGUGGUAUAAGGAAUGCCAUAUAAUGUGCCAAAAAUCUGAGUGCCUUUAAUGCUUACUUAUAAUGCUAAAAAAUGAUCUUAAUUCUUUGCAAUUAUAUAUGAAAAAUGACUGAUUUUUCUUAAAAUAUGUAACUUAUAUAAAUAUAUCUAUUUGUACAGAUUUUAACCAUAAAAACAUUUUUGGAAAACCAUAAA
rnacentral:sRNA from 1 species